rnacentral:rRNA from 1 species
AACGAACGCUGGCGGCAUGCCUAACACAUGCAAGUCGAACGAAACCUUCGGGUCUUUUGGCGCACGGGUGCGUAACGCGUGGGAACCUUCCCUUGGGUUCGGAAUAACUCCCCGAAAGGGGUGCUAAUACCGGAUAAUGUCUUCGGACCAAAGAUUUAUCGCCUUUGGAUGGGCCCGCGUUGGAUUCGCUAGUUGGUAGGGUAAUAGCAUACCAAGGCGAGGAUGCAUAGAUGGUAUGAGAGGAUGAUCAGCAACACUGGGACUGAGACACGGCCGAGACUCCUACGGAAGGGAGGAGUGGGGAAUAGUGGACAAUGGGGGAAAGCCUGAUCCAGCAAUGCCGGGAGAGUGAUGAAGGCAGUAGGGAUGUAAAGCUCUUUUACCCGGGAAGAUAAUGACAGUACCGGGAGAAUAAGCCCCGGCUAACUACGUG